rnacentral:rRNA from 1 species
AUACGGAGGGUGCAAGCGUUACUCGGAAUCACUGGGCGUAACGCGCGCGCAGGCGGCUAUUUAAGUUGGAUGUGAAAGCCUACGGCUCAACCGUAGAACUGCAUCCAAAACUAUUUAGCUAGAGUGUGAGAGAGGAAGAUGGAAUUAGUUGUGUAGGGGUAAAAUCCGUAGAGAUAACUAGGAAUACCAAAAGCGAAGGCAAUCUUCUGGAACACUACUGACGCUGAGGCGCGAAAGCGUGGGGAGCAAACAGUAUUAGAAACCCUAGUAGUCC